UACAGGUUUAGAAAAACGACCAACCCGGGGCACCAGGGGGCGCUGCGGAUCCUGGUUCUGGACCCUCCCUGGUACCCAUCCCCUGGGCAGGGCUCAAGUGCAAAGGGCAUGACUGGUGCUUCCUUGAACACACUUCUCUUGGGGAAAAUGUCUGUCCCUCUGAAACCCGCACGUGGCCCUGUGUCUGACCCCGGGGAAUCCCCAGAGUGAGGCCCUGGGCUCAGGGCUGAGACAGGAGCUGAGACCCAGGACGGGGGCGGGGACUUGAUUGGCAUGCACUGCCCUCCUGGAGCUGCAGGGGAGAGGAUCAAACGGGGGCCUGGAGAGGCCAGUCCAGCUGGGCAGCCUCAGGGCAGAGGUCAGGACGCGCCUCCCACCACGGCCUGGGUCCUCUUCUACCUGCUGUCGCUGCUGAUCAACACAGGGCUCUGUGCUCGGCCUGUGCUGACCCAGUCCCCGUCUGCGGCCUCCUCCCUGGGAGGCUCGGCCACGCUCACCUGCACCCUGAGCAGUGAGCAUAGCACGCACUUCAUUCAGUGGUAUCAGCAGAGCCCUGGGCAGGCCCCUCGGUAUCUGAUGAAACUGACCAGUGACGGAGAAGUCACCAGAGGGGACGGGAUUCCCGGCCGCUUCUCCGGCUCCAGCUCCGGGGCUGAGCGCUACCUGACCAUCAGCAGCCUCCAGUCUGAUGACGAGGCUGAUUACAUCUGUGGUGUCAGCUAUAAUGAUGGUGGCCAGAGUGGGUACCACAGUGACACAGACAAAGAGGAA